rnacentral:rRNA from 1 species
CAAUAGCGUAUAUUAAAGUUGUUGCAGUUAAAAAGCUCGUAGUUGGACCUUGGACCUGGACAGGCGGUCCGCCUCACGGCGUGUACUGUCUUGCUGGGUCUUUCCUCUUGGUGAUCUGUUGUUUCGGCAGCAGGGAACCAGGACUUUUACUUUGAAAAAAUUAGAGUGUUCAAAGCAGGCUCGACGCCGGAAUAUAUUAGCAUGGAAUAAUAAAAUAGGACGUGCGGUUCUAUGUUGUUGGUUUUUGGAAUCGCCGUAAUGAUUAAUAGGGACAGUCGGGGGCAUUAGUACUCACAUGCUAGAGGUGAAAUUCUUGGAUUUUGUGAAGACUAACUUCUGCGAAAGCAUUUGCCAAGGAUGUUUUCAUUAA